UACGAAGGGUGCAAGCGUUACUCGGAAUUACUGGGCGUAAAGCGUGCGUAGGUGGUUCGUUAAGUCUGAUGUGAGAGCCCUGGGCUCAACCUGGGAAUGGCAUUGGAAACUGGCGAUCUAGAGUGCGGUAGAGGGUAGUGGAAUUCCCGGUGUAGCAGUGAAAUGCGUAGAGAUCGGGAGGAACAUCUGUGGCGAAGGCGACUGCCUGGACCAGCACUGACACUGAGGCACGAAAGCGUGGGGAGCAAACAGG
rnacentral:rRNA from 1 species